rnacentral:rRNA from 1 species
CACAAGCGGAGGAGCAUGUGGUUUAAUUCGAUGAUACGCGAGGAACCUUACCAGGGCUCGAACGCAGGAGGAAUACAUCCGAAAGGAUGUAGCCAGCAAUGGCCGCCUGCGAGGUGCUGCAUGGUUGUCGUCAGCUCGUGCCGUGAGGUGUCAGGUUAAGUCCUAUAACGAGCGCAACCCCUAUUCAUAGUUGCCAGCAUAUUACGAUGGGGACUCUAUGAAAACUGCCUGCGCAAGCAGUGAGGAAGGUGGGGAUGACGUCAAAUCAGCACGGCCCUUAUGUCCUGGGCUACACACGUGCUACAAUGGCCGGUACAAAAGGCCGCAACUACGCAAGUAGAAGCUAAUCCCUAAAACCGGUCUCAGUUCGGAUUGGAGUCUGCAACCCGACUCCAUGAAGCCGGAUUCGCUAGUAAUCGCACAUCAGCCAUGGCGCGGUGAAUACGUUCCCGGGCCUUGUACACACCGCCCGUCAAGCCAUGGAAGCUGGGGGUACCUGAAGUCCGUAACCCUUAAGGAGCGGCCUAAGGUAAACUC